UUCAACUGCUGAAAGCAAUGGAGUUAUCUGCAGAGAACUAUGAGAAGAGAGAGAGAGAGAGGAAAGCAUCAAGGCAGGGAUGAGGCAGAGCAUGAGAUGGGGUCAUCAACACACCAAUGUAGAGAUAGAGAGAGAGAUGUAGAGAGAGAAAGAUAGAGGCUGAUUGCUUGUGAAAGUUUGUUGUUGCCUUUCCCAUGCACUGCCUCUUCCCUGGCUUUCUCUUCUCCUUAUCUCUCGCCAUUAUCGAAGCACGACAUUGUCCAGAGGCGAAUCAUGACGCGUCACGUCAUUUUUUUGCAGUGUACUCAGUGAAGUGACGCAUUCGGAUUCGUCUCCGAACGAUCCAGUGUUCACACAGAACAAUUUCUCAACGACAUUGAGUAUAAGUUUAACAGUGAUUCUUAAUAGAUUUGUUCUGGGUCAUGAUGAAUUUCAAAAUUAUGAAAUUUUGUUUUUCGCUCUUUAAAAGGAGAAAUUAUUAGGAGUGGAAGCUCCACAUAAUUGUGUUAUAUUUCUAGUUUUUCAAUGCAGGGAUGGAAUGCUUACAGCCCCAUAAAUUUGGGAAAAGUUUGUAUGACUGCUUCAAAUAUUAAACUUUAAUCUUCAAUUAUUUGCAAUCCUGUAUAUACUAUAAAAAAGAAUUUAUUAUCCUAAAUUUUGGGUAAAUUUUCUUUUAAUCUCUCCUUCGAAAUUCUAAUUUCCUCUGCUUUGUUGUGGAGAACUCGGCAGCUUCAUGAAAAUGGAGGUCUCACAUAGUUAAGGCCAGAGAGAUUUUGAUGGAGAAUGGCAAUGGCAAUGAAGAGCUCAUUAUGUUAACUUUUAAAUUUUAUGUACUUGUUUAAUAAUUUUAGUGUAUUUAAUUAUAUAUAGUGUAAUGCAUAUAUCUUUUGAUGUAUUUAAUAAUCAUGAAUACAUACUUGUAAUGAUGUCAUUGGAAAAUUUUGAGAAUGUAUAAUCUUAUUUAAAUUUAGGUUUA